CACAUCGGCCAUAGCGGCGGGGCAACUCCUGUACCCAUUCCGAACACAGAAGAUAAGCCCGCCCGCGUUUGUGGCGUGUACUGUGGUGCGAGAGCCCAUGGGAAUCCACAAACGCUGAUGUGC
rnacentral:rRNA from 2 species